rnacentral:rRNA from 1 species
UACGAAGGUCCCAAGCGUUAUCCGGAUUUAUUGGGUUUAAAGGGUGCGUAGGCGGAUUAUUAAGUCAGUGGUGAAAGCCUGCAGCUUAACUGCAGAACUGCCAUUGAUACUGAUGAUCUUGAGUACAGUUGAGGUGGGCGGAAUGUGUCAUGUAGCGGUGAAAUGCAUAGAUAUGACACAGAACACCUAUUGCGAAGGCAGCUCGCUAAACUGUAACUGACGCUGAGGCACGAAAGCGUGGGGAUCAAACAGG